ensembl:misc_RNA Metazoa_SRP Metazoan signal recognition particle RNA
GCCAGGCGUGGUGGCUCACGCCUGUAAUCCCAGCACUUUGGGAGGCCGAGGCAGGCGGAUCACCUGAGGUCAGGAGUUUGAGACCAGCCUGGCCAACAUGGUGAAAUCCUGUCUCUA